rnacentral:rRNA from 1 species
GAGUCACUUUGAUAUGAUGAGUUUAUUUUAUAAAUUAAGGAUUGAUUAUGGGAGCUAAAGCAAUACCAAAUAUUAAUAUUAAUGCAUAAUUGAAAGAUUAACUUAGCUUAAACAUAUUAAGUGACAAAAAAAGUGCCAGCAGUCGCGGUCAUACUUUUAACUUUGAAAAUAACACUAUGGUUCAGGAUUUUGCUUUAUUUAAAUGAUCUUUUUUGUGGUGAAAUACAAAAAGAAUUAUAAAGGUUAACUUUAAACCAAGAUUAAAACUGGGAUUAGAUACCCCACUAUUUAUGGUUGAACCCAUCCCAACCUAAUACUAGUUAAUUAAACUUAAUACCAUGGCGGUAACAUAAAUGUCUUAGGGGAACUUACCUAAUAAUAGACAAUCACCAAGAUUACCUUACUUUUUUAAAAAAUCUGUAUACCGUUGCCUAAAAUAGUUGUAACAACUAUUUAGUUUUUAGUACCUAAAAUAAGACAAAUCAAGGUACAGUCAAUAAAAAAGUUCAGGCGAGUUACAAUUAAAACUUCUAUCAAUUUACUAUAUGAAAUUAUACUAUAAGAUGGACUUGAAAGUAAAUAAUAUUAGCUUUAGAAAUUGAAUAUAACUUUGUGUUGUGUACAAAUCGCCCGUCACUCCCUUCAAAUAAUAAAAGAGAUAAGUCGUAACAUAGUAGGUGUAACGGAAGCUGUACCU